GCCCAGCCUGUAUUUGUGCUUGGGAUUGCCCAGAGCCAUGUGCAGGACCUUGCGAGUGGCCUUGUUGAAAUUCAUGAGCUACUCACAGGGGUUAAUCAACAUUAUAAAACAGUUUUUUAAAAAAAUAAACAAAAUACUUUUAUUGUGUAGUUCUAGUUAAUGCUUCUCCAUCAUUCUUCUCUGCAGAUAUUUUUAUCUGUACUGUAAUAACUGCCAAUAUGGAGAGAGACAGAGAAAUGCUGCCUUUCAGAAGAGUAGCUUCCAGCCAUGUUAGCUUUGCUGCUUUAGAGGUCUUUCUCUUGAGGUGUUUCUGUUCUGCAUUGCUGGCAGGAUGUCAGAUUCCCUGCAAGCUCAUUUGGACCUGCUGUGGUCUUUGGCACAUCCUCUGGUAUCAGAUACUGCAUUGCUCAUCAGUCCAUGAACUUUUCCAUUUACCAGAGUCUGCACACCACCUUGACAGCAAAACUGUGGCUGAAUGGAUAAAGGGUUGGAGAAUAGCUAGAAGUGCGAAGAGUUUUACCUGUCUCCAAGUGAUAGACAUAAAAUUACAUGCUUUGCAGGAUGAUACCAAAGCCUUACAUUGGCACUGGAAGGAGGUGGGGAUUGAGAUGAUAACAAAGCAGUGGCCUGAAAUAUGGAAGAGACAGACUGUGGGUUUGAACUAGCUGGAGCCAGAAGUGACAAAUGCCCAGCUCAUCCUGACCUCCACACGGGAAGAAAGGGAGAAUGACAGAGGCACUUCGGCUCCCUGGGAAAGACAUGUGAUUCUAUAUGAAUUGAAGUGUCCCUGGAGCCACAGGAAGGGUCUGGCACUCCAUGCUGGCAAGAGAGGUGUUUAAUGCCCAGCAAGAUGAUAGAAUGGGACAUCAGCCUGCGUCUGUGUAAAGGCUUCUGGCAGCACCUGCUAUUUAUCUCUUCUGUACUUGUUUUCAAAAAUAGCUACCUUUCUAUCUGAGUUUCUCUUGCGGAAAUGGAGUUCCUCAUGGUUGGCUCCUGCCUCCCACCUCACUGCUGCUCACUCAGUAUCCCAGGGGUGUCCACCACACAACAGCCUCCCUCCUGCUCCCAAGACAGUUACAGACGUGAGCAUCGCCUCCAUAGGUUUGGGCAUGCGUAUAUGCUUAUGACCAUCACUCAGCCUACUACGUGAAGCUUAAAUUUCAUGGUUCAAGUAACUUGAAAGGGCUGGGGAAGGCAAAUUUUCCAUGGGCAGCAUUUUAAUGUCUCUUCUUGUACUACCAACCCCCAAAAUUCAUCUUCCUCUUGCAUAGCUGUGUCACAUUACCAAAGACAGAUUUCCAUGAGGAAAAGGCACAAGGGAAAAAGGGAGCAAAGAGUGGUAAAUGAAAAGAGUGAAGGCCACAUUCAAAACAAACAGGGUAUGAUUUUUCAUGCAAGGGGUAGUUGUGAAAAUGCUUGAAGGAUGUUGUGGAAAUCAUUGAUUUGUCUGGCUUUGGGGGAAAACUGGAAAAAAAGUAUUGAAAAAGAAACCUGUAUCUUCUUCACUUCUUCCUGCAAAUACUGUACUUUAGAAACAAAACACAGCUUGGGAAGUGAUGCUAUGAGCAUUUACCAACCUUUGAAAGUAUACUAUUAUCUGAGGAAAAAAAAAUGGAAAAAGUUGCCAACUAGAUGAAUUUUUGUCUUUACAUUACCCAAACCUAUAGUGCUAAUCUGUCAUGUUACAUAUUAACAUCAACAUUCAGAGGAAAGUUCUUUGCAAAUUUGUCUUUAGGACAGCCUAGAGAACAUGCUCAGUGAAUGACUUUUUUUUUUCAAUUCACCUCCUCCCUGCAGACAUUUUAGAGUCACAAUAAGCCUGAAGCUGUGCUACUUGAAUAAUGAUCUCAGAUUUUGCAAACUAAGCAGGGUCAGGACCGGGGUUUAUGUGGCUGGAGAAACCUUCAAGCCUAAUCCAGCAGCCCUCAUGAGGUGACAUGAGAAUUUCACGGCUGAACCAAUGCCACUGGAUGGUGGGUGUUACUGAUCUGCUGCUUUUUUACAGAACUUUUCCCUUAGGUAAUACACUUACCUACAUAUGAGGAUAUUCAAUGAUGUAUUUGUGAUUGGGGAGCACUCCACCUAAUGAGAAAGCUUUCAGACUUCUCUUUGGUCAUUAGUCAGAAAGAUCCCAUCAAACCCAGCAAGGGGACCAGAUAAUUUAAAUGUUAAUAUGGGGAGAGGUGAACAUAAAAGCUAUUCACAGCCAAUACAUUCUAUUUGCUCGACGUCUGCUGCAGGGUCUGAAGUGAAAUUAUCCCCAAACAUCUGAGUGCAAAUAGCUGGGACAGAAAAUGGCAAAGUAUUUCUUAAGCCAGUGACAGACCCUUUCAAAAAAAAAGACUCACUGGGGGCUUUAUCAUCAUUCUGUUUCGUACUUUGACAGAGAGACAGUCAUUUGGGGAUUACUGAAUUGUUGUUAUUUUGAAAACUUUGGAAGAGUGAAAGCUGAAAUCUGAGCAGUCAUCAUCUGAUUAUACCAGUUCCUCCUGAAAUGUUAAGUGUAUGUAAUAACGCCUUUUCCUUAUGGAGCCUAGACUGAUGAUAGUCAUGCUGUUAAAGUGCUGCCAUAUUGUGAAAGGGAAGAAGCAGAUGCUUUCUGCUGGGUGGUGUAAUUUUUGUCAGUUAAAUUUUUGUAAAGGUGAUGGGCUCUUUGAAAUGUUAUAUCCAGGAAACUAUCUUGAGUUUGAAUAUUUGCCAUUGGGAUCCACGUACAGAACUGUUGUAUGGUGGGGAAUAACUACCCACCACCACCACCACCUUGUUACCUUACUGAUCCAGUUAUCUCUGAUGGAUACAUGUCACUGCCAGCCUCCAAUUUACCAUAGGUAAGUCGGUCAGUACCCUACCAGUUUCCAUUCUUCCCCCAUAAUUGCCUCUCACAUAGAAAGAAAUGUUUUUUUUAUUACUCUCUGCCAGUGUGUGUUUACCACAUAGCUCAUGUAAUGGAUUUAUUUUCUCUGCUAGCUUGCUGGCAUGUCCGCUUCUUAGUUCAUCAUCUGUUUCUUUCUACAAGGAAGGGCUUCCUAAGUGUGUGUGUGUGUAUAAAAGGGAUGCUGACUUCCAUUUGACAGUCAUUCCUUGCUACUAUCCCCUCAAGUUCAGCUACUUAAGUCUCAAAACUAUGCUGCAGUUGGGUUCAUGUGAAAGACAUAAGGCAGAUAGUUUAUUGAGCAGCAACAUAUUUCAGUUGUUAGCAUUUGCUGCUUUAUAGCCUUGCAUGUAUAAAAUAAGCUUGCAAAAAUUCCCUCAGAAAGGAAUAAUCUGGGAAAAGUGAUUGAAAUUUUGUUACUCUUCAUUUUUCAAAAUUGAAAGCUGUUCUUCAGUCAGAAAUCAACAUUUUAUAAUAAAAAAAAGUUCUUUAA
rnacentral:lncRNA from 1 species